rnacentral:rRNA from 1 species
GAGCGAGCCGUCUAAGGUGGGACAAAUGAUUAGGGUGAAGUCGUAACAAGGUAGCCGUAGGAGAACCUGCGGCUGGAUCACCUCCUUUCUAAGGAA